AAACUGAUAUUGCUUUGAACGUGAUGUCAUUGGUCCCUGCGCGAUCUUGACCAAAAUACGAUUGUCAGUGGCUAUACUUCGUCUAUUUGUAUCAUGAGCACAACAGUAAAAUGGGCACGGUGUAGUCUUACUGCAGUAGCGCCUCCACUGUGUCGUGUGAUAAGAUUAUGCACGUACAUGCAGUAAGAUGGCGAAUUUCUCAACUUAGUAAUUAUUCCGGACGUGUCGUAUAGGUACAAAUCAAUGCAAAUAAAUGCGUUCAGAGCAGUCCACUGUUAGUUUAGCAAGGAACAAUUUUUUACAAAUAUAUAUAAUUAUAUAUUGCUCAUCGUAUCCUCGAAUUCCUGUUGCGCUUUAAACCAACAAGGAUAGGUGGCUGUAUUAUAAACGAGAUGGAUCAAUCGAUUGUGACCAUAUCAUCAGACGAAGAUGAAGAACUUGUUUAUAAGAUUCCCUUGGAAAUGUUUCAGAAUACUAAGGUGUCAUCUGAAUCUGUCAAAGAAGAAAUACUUUUAGAUGAUGAUGAGGAGGUCUGUUCAGAUUCCCAGAAACGGAAGGCAUCUGAUCGGAUUGAUAUCUCAGCAACAAAGAACAAACGACCUGGAAAGAGAAUUAAACUAUCCACCAGCACUGAUGAUGUCAAAAAUACUAAUGAUGUGGUCAAAGAUAUAACAGACACCUGCAGCUUGGAAAAGUUGAAGUUGCAAAAUAAUGAUAAGUCUAUAAACACAGUUAAAUCAGACAAAGAAAAGACAAACAAUAGUACAGAAAACUCAUGUAAUGGUUUAGUAAAACCACAAUUAAUUGUCAAAAAGAGAAUACCAUGCGUGAAUGUGUCUGCAGUGAAAGGUGAUGCAUUUGCAAUGCUUGUUCAUCAGUGUUUGCAAAACGAUUCAUCUUCCGACAUGAAGAAGAUAAUAAAAAACCUACAAAAACACUAUGAUCGGUUAGAUCCAGAUUAUGCCAACUCGGAGGAUUUCAUUGCACUUUUGACUGAAACUAAAAAUAGUAUUUCAAAAAGUCAAGAGGGUAUGUUCAGGAAUCUUCUCGAAGUAAGGAAUACAAUUAUUCAUAGGCGUAAGAAAAGCACCUUAUGUGAUGGGACCAAUCAAAAUAGCUCAAAGACAUCUAUAAAUAAUAAACCAAUGAAAGUAGGCGACGUAACCCAAGCGGAUGAAGAUGAGGAGUGUAAUCAAGAAGGAAGAAUCCGAAAAAUCGAGCACAAAAUGGCAAUUUGUAAUAAGCGAAUAAAAGCGUUGGAACAAACGGAAGUGGAUUUCGACAAUGAAUCGGAUAGCCAUUACAUGAAACUACAGAGGUAUAAAGAGAGAAUGGUGGAACUCUAUGCCAAAUAUUGUUCACUAACUGGUGAUAAUGUGGACGCAGGUCGUGCCUAUCUCCGUCCAAAAUAUCUAUCUGUAACGAAUAUUACGUCCCUGGACCAGGCAAUAACAAGUUUUGUGAAUUCAAAAAUUUCAAAAAUUACGAAAAAUUGUAAAAAACGUACCAGGCACACAGCAUUGACAAAUGCCCUUAUAUUCCCAAAUUACAAGGAUAUCUUUCAGUGUGUUGAAAAGUGUAAUGAGGAUAAGAAGUUAGGCAUGAGCAAUGAAGAAAAACAGAAAAUUGCAAAGAAGGCAUUCACCGAUAUCGGAAUAUACUUGCAGCGUGUGCGGCAGAACGACUUCUGGGAUACAUUUUCUCUCCACCUGGAGAACCAAGACGAGGAUCCGGCUGUUACAAACGAGGAGCUCUCUGAAAAGUUGCAAAUGAACCAACGUUCUGCUGAGAAGAAAUUAGCAGAAGUGAUCAACCAUUUUGCAGAAAUUCAAGAAAAAGCAGAUCUUCAUCGGAAAGAAAAAGGCCUAGAUAAAAACGCAGAUGAGAGUGAACAAUCUGAGGAUUCUAAUUUAAUUGACGAAGAUAAUGAAGAUAACGAGAGUGAGGAUGAUGACGAAGAAGAGGACGACAACGAAAAAGAGAACAAUAAAUUACAAGAUAAUAAUGAUACUGAUAAUGAUACUGAUAAAGAUGGCAGUCCUGAUACCGUAACGGAGGACGACCAGGAUGAUACAUUUGACAAGGAUAAAACAAUGCAAACCAACAAGAUUAAUAAACAAAAUUUAAUAAAAGAAAGUCAUAAUGAUGCGUUAGAGGAAGAGGAUAGCAUAGCAGCUGCAAGCAAACCGGAAACUAAUGAAUCGCACGAGAAGGAAGAUAAUAAUCAACGGGAAGUAGUAGAAGAGUUGAACGAAGUAAAAGCGACGAAUGUUGAAGCUUGCAUGGUGGAUUUAACAGAGAGUAACAACCUUCCUAUCCAAGAGGAAGAGAAGCCUUUGUUACGGGUGAGAUCUUUUGCGAAACCACCAUGUUCCUGGAAUUACAGCACGGAACAGAUGCCUAAGAAACCGAGUGCGAGCACAGUACCGCUCGUGACUAUCAACAAUGAGACUCCUGGUGGAAGUCAGAAACUGACAAUAGAUCAGUCGAAAAAAACGAGUCCUGCUCAGUGAUGCGAACCUCAUUUUUGCAUCAUAUGACUGUUCCGUUACGAUUACAGAACUAAUAAAAACAAUGAACGAUUAUACAUAGGCGUAAGGAUGCGUCUCAAGAAAAUGGUAAACUUCAAUUUCACUUUGAAGAAUUCCCAUUCAGGAAAUAAAAUGGCUAGGUAUAAGUGUAAUCAUUGCACUAAAAAAAAACAUGCAUAUCAUCCUUGACGAAUGGGUCAACACUUGGAAAAGUUUUGCCACGGUUGUCCUGAAAUUGUUAAAAACAAACUUCAUCCUAAGCUGAAACACUCACAAAAGAAGAGAAGGCAUCAAGAAGUGUUCAAUGAUAGCAGUGAUGAAGAAAAAUUGCUGCCAUCAAAAUCAUGCCGAUAAUACAGAUCAGCAGAGUACAGUGCAGAUAAUGAAAUAUUUGUAGAAGACAGUAUACUGGUUCAGAAACUGGACCAUCCUCUUGCAAGUAACACCAAAGGAAAUAUCAGUCAGGUAACUCGAUAAUGAAGCUCUGUGAUACGAUGUCUGCAACGGAGAUAUUAAACUUUCGAAAAUUUCUUAUCAGAGCUAUUUACGCUUCUGGGACUCCCCUAAACACAUGCUAAGCUAAAUACACUGGAAGGAACUUUUUUCUUCCAUGCGUCCAGCUUUCCCACUGCCUUCAAGACAUCAAGUUUUUAGCAAAUUUAUUUAUGACACUUAUGAAGAUGUGAUGUGAAUUUUAAAAUUGUAAAUGCUAAUUCUCUUGAACUUUCAUGCGUCAAUUGGACGAAUAUCAGUAAUGAAGGGAUAAUGAAUUUUAUUAUCACUACUUCAGAGCUAGUAGUUUUUAAAUCCAUACCAAGAGGCACUGAUUUAGAAAACAGCCCCAUCAUUGCUGAUAGAUGAAGGAAGUCAUCGAAGCCAUAGAACUUUCAGAAGUGCUGGCUGUAUGCACAAAUAACGCUUCAGCUAUGAAAGAUGCUUGCUCGGCGUUUAUCGGAGAUAUAAUGUUAUGGAUGUACUGCUUACGUUCUCAAUCUUCUGAUUGAAAACAUAAUAUCUCUAAACACGAUUGGCACAUUUUAUAUUAGUGUUAAAAAAAAUUAUAGAAGAGAUCAAAAUAUCCCACAUUUGAUCGGCAACUUUUUCUGUGAUUCAAAAAUGAGAUACAAAUAAACAAUCUACGACAAUCAAAUUGUCAAGAAAAUGUUAUGAUUAAAUUGGGAUUUUAAAAAUUAGUCAUAAAUGAGAACAAAUAUUAUUUCUUCAUAAAUAAACAUAAAUAAUGCAUAUUUAAUUAUUUUUAAUUUGUUAUUAGUCAGAGAGAUUAUAGACAAAAAAGAAAUUUCUUAUAAUUGUUCCAUCUUUUAUUAAGAUAUAAUAAAACAUAUUACUUCUUGAUACAUAUUAAGCCAAUGUAAAAACAAAUAAGUAUUUUCUUGUAAUACUAAUUUCAUUUAUUCACAUUCAGUUCAAUCAUUUAAAUUAAAAUUGUCAGGUACAUAAUGUCAAAUGUUUCAAACAUUUCACAUGGACAAAUUGGAUAACAAUUAAGUGUCGACGAACAAAUAUUGUUAUACGGAUCAACAAAACAUUAAGUAGAUUUAUGAAUAAAGAAAUAAAAACUAAUUAAAUACAUAAAGAACAAUUAACUAUUGACCGACGAUUCCUAUACAAUUUAAUAAAAAGUCAAGUGAGUUAAUAAAUCAGUAAAUAAGUGUCACAAACGUCUAUACAUGUAGUAUAUUGUAUAGUAAUAUUGUUGUAAAUGGUGGAGUAUGCUACAUAUCUUUGCAGAAGGAAGACUUAAUGUUGUAUUUGUCUUGUCAAUAAAUGAUUUUCUAGUAAUA